GUUCUGGACAGAAGGAAACAAGGCAGCAGCAUUGGGACUCCAAGAGCCCAGGAAGGGGUUCUGUCUGCUCAGACUCGGACCUUCCCAGUCCCUCUGCCAUCACUAGUAACCCUGGCAUGAAGCAGAUGGCUGCCUGGAACAGAGGCGAGAGGGACGGCGCCGAAGGACGGGAACGGGUAGGGGUCGCCCAGAAGCUGCCGUUCUGGAAAGUCUAGUUUAAAAACCCACCAAAGGGAACUUCCCUGUCGGUCCUGUAAGACUCCGUGCUCCCAAUGCAGGGGGCCCGCGAUUCGAUCGGGGAACUAGAUCCCGCAUGCAUGCUGCAACUAAGAAGUCCAUAUGCCGCACCUAAAGAUCCCGAACGCAGCAACGAAGACCAGGCAUAGAUUAGAUUAGAUAGAUAGAACCGGCGUAGAUGGAUUAGAUUAGAUAGAUAAGAUGGUUAGAUUAGAUAGAUAUUUUUUUUAAAAAAUACCGCUAAGGGAGCCCUAAAACUAAAACAGGAAUUAUAGCGCCAAUUGCGGUCAGCCUGGAACGGUUUGCACGCUGCCUACCAUAAUAGUACGUUAGAAAAUGGUGUUCUGUUUUUGUUUAAAAUAAAGGGAGGGCUAAGGAAUGAUGUGUAUAAAGGCAUGACAUACUGAAUGAUGAAACCCGAGCAAAGGAAGAAAUGCACACGUGUGUCCCACAGCCUGAGUGCCCUGGGCCUGCCCGAGUCCAGCAAGGACGCUGACAGGCAGGAGAGGCUGAGGUCCCGAGAGCUGAGUGUGCCCAGAGCUGCACCUGCCCAGGCCCAGAGGACCUUGUGCAACAGCCCAGGUCACAGAGCCACGAGCCUCAGAAACAACCUCCCCAGGGUGCUCUGGUCAGCGCUGUCAUUACCAUCGACCUCCCCAGUUCUCAAGAAGGGAAAGAGGCAGAAAAUUCAGAGAUUAAUAAACUGAAGUCUGUGUUUUCCUCUUAGA